AUUUACAACCAUUCUACCAUGAACAUGCUCAAUGAGAUCAGUAAAAGGAGUUGAUCUUGGAAGCUAAACAGGGUCUGGCCUGGUUAAUAGUUAGAUGAGAGGUUGCCUGGGAAUACAAGGUACUGUAGGCU
rnacentral:rRNA from 1 species